GCCCAGAGCUGCACCCCAUUCCCAGGGCAAGGACAGAAGAAGGAUGUGGGAUCAAGGACUCCACCUCCCACAAACCAACUCCAGCAAGGACAAGACUGUGUAAACACUAAGGCGGAUCACAGCUAAGGAGUGUGCCUGCGCAGUACUGCAUCCGGAGUGAGGAAUGUCAAUCAAACUCAAGACAGACUGAUAUCUCUUCAGAUGAGCCUCAGGCAAACUCCUCAACAGCUGUUCCAGAAGGAGGCACAGCCCUCAGAGGAGACAGCGAUUGGUCCAGGGCAUCANCCCAGAACUUCCCAGAGCAGCAAGAGGUGGCGGAGGACAAUUGUGACCCUGACCAUCCAGACCACAAUUAGGCCAAGGAUAAAAUUGUGAGUGUGUUUUCAACAACACACACACACACACACACACACAAAAUGAAAAAUAGACAAUAUUAGAAAUAUUUUCUUUUGACUGUACACUAUGUACUCUUUCGUAUUGCUAUGACAAAAGCAAUAAAAUGUUAAAAUGUUUUUAAAAUGAAAUGUGUGAAGUUCAACUUUUACCUUAAGAUUAAUUUAUUUAUUAUUAAUGUUCGUUUUGUUUGUUUAACUUAAAAGCCAGUAGACAGUGUUCAUUUUUCUAUUCUUUUUCUCAAAUGG
rnacentral:lncRNA from 1 species